AACGAACGCUGGCGGCAGGCUUAACACAUGCAAGUCGAGCGCCCCGCAAGGGGAGCGGCAGACGGGUGAGUAACGCGUGGGAAUCUACCCAUCUCUACGGAAUAACGCAUGGAAACGUGUGCUAAUACCGUAUACGUCCUUCGGGAGAAAGAUUUAUCGGAGAUGGAUGAGCCCGCGUUGGAUUAGCUAGUUGGUGGGGUAAAGGCCUACCAAGGCGACGAUCCAUAGCUGGUCUGAGAGGAUGAUCAGCCACACUGGGACUGAGACACGGCCCAGACUCCUACGGGAGGCAGCAGUGGGGAAUAUUGGACAAUGGGCGCAAGCCUGAUCCAGCCACGCCGCGUGAGUGAUGAAGGCCCUAGGGUUGUAAAGCUCUUUCCCCGGUGAAGAUAAUGACGGUAACCGGAGAAGAAGCCCCGGCUAACUUCGUGCCAGCCGCCGCAGUAACAC
rnacentral:rRNA from 1 species